rnacentral:rRNA from 1 species
GACGAACGCUGACGGCGUGCUUAACACAUGCAAGUCGAAGGGAGUGGCGAACGGGUGAGUAACACGUGAGUAACCUGCCCUUUUCUUUGGGAUAAGCCUGGGAAACUGGGUCUAAUACUGGAUGGAUUGGGAUGGGCUCGCGGCUUAUCAGCUUGUUGGUGGGGUGAUGGCUUACCAAGGCUUUGACGGGUAGCCGGCCUGAGAGGGUUGUGGGUCACGCGUGGACGUAGGUACGGCCCAGGCUCCUGCGGGAGGCGGCAGUGGGGGAUAUUGCACAAUGGACGAAAGGCUGAUGCAGGGACGUCGGGUGGGGGAUGAAGGCCUUCGGGUUGUAAACUCCUUUCGCCAGCGGAAUGGUAGUGGGUAAAGAAGCGCCGGCUAACUACGUGCCAGCCGCCGCGGUAAUUC